ACCGGGCUUUGUAGCACUUGCCUAUAACUCAAGUGAGGGUAUUAAAGAUGGUUAGACACUGACUCAGUCCAGCCAGGUUGGCUCCAUUGGUGCACAAACUGGCUUGCCCGUUCCAAGUUGUGAGUUGGACCAUGUGUCUUGAGCGAAGGCUUGGGUCACGUGGUUCCUAAAGCAGGGGGCACUGCGUAAGGCUGGCUUCACAGAGCUGCGAAAACCCCUCGCUCACGACAGUGGAAGGAUAACAUGCCGGGGCUCCAUGGGUCCAUAAUAACCUGCUGGGCUGCCUCAAAUGAACAGCCAUCUUUUU
rnacentral:SRP_RNA from 1 species